GCAGGUGCAGAAGCGGGAGAUGGGGACUUCCAGGCGGGUGACGUUAGAAUGUGGUGACAGCGGUUAAAAACGGAACAUAAUAAGUUUACCACUGCAUUUUUAAUGCAAAGUAGAAGGGAGACUUUCACUUGCUGAAAGUUGAUUAAAUCUGUGCAAGGCGCCUCAUAAAGCCACUUGGCAUAUCCGAAACCGAAUGAAAUUAUAAGCAGCCGGAGUGCAACAGAUUACCAGUCAGAAACUCCUGGUGGAAUUCCGGACCCUUUACCACGAGCGCCUUCGACGCAUUGACCAAUCAGAUCACAGCCGGGAGGAGGCUCUGCAGAGCAAGGUGGGUGUGCUGCAGUCGUUUGUGUGAGACCUGAGUGAGCAGAAUUAGGUUCUGAUCCAGGCGCUGGAGGCUGAGGAGGCAGAGGACCGGGCGGUGGAGGGGAGAACAGUCAGCCUUCACAAAGAGCUGGAGCGCCGCCGAUCCUUGGCUCUGUGCCUGAUGCCAGUGGACCUCGUGGGAACCACGGCAACGUUCUUUCGGUCCCCGUACGUACCAAGACCCGUGACCCGAACCGGUGGAGGAGCGUGAAGCCCAGGUCCAGGAGCUGCAAGACACCAUCACAGAUCUGCACCAGGAGAUGACCAGGAAGGACCAGGACAAGCUGACACAGCUGCAGGAGCUCCACCAGCUGGAGAGCAGGGUGAAGCAGCCCACUGACCAGGCAGGGCUGGGGAACUAUUACCACCCAGACAGGUCUAGUUCUGGACUGGCCAAUUCUGUUGGUCAGGAGCAUUGAGGAGACCACAGGCCAGCUGUGACAGGAGGUAGUGUUAGAGUGGGCAUCAGCAGCGCUACCCUGUCUGGGGAUGGGAGUACUACUGACCCGACAGGAUCCAGUCCAGUCCCACAUCCUACAGAACAGAGGGGCAGAGAACUGCUGAAGACUGAGUUAUUAUGUCGGGACGCAACCAUCCAGAGGCUCCGGUGAGAUGUGCUGCUCUCCUACCAGGCCCGCGACUCCCAGUCUGCUCAGCUGGAUGUCCAUGGGCAGAGGAUCUCUCAGCUGCAGACGGAGCUACAGGAGAGCCAACUGGAGCUCCAGAGAGGACACAGCCGAAGAGAGCAGCAGCAGAGGGACCUGCAGACCCAGCAGGCAGAGGAGCUCCACACUCAGCUGGCUAAGGUCAAAGGGCGUCUUGUGCAGGUGGAGGGAGAAAAUGAGGCGCUCAUGGGAUAUAAGCGGGAGCAGGGAGCCGAGGUCAGACUGGGUGCCUGUCGUGGUUCACAGUGACUGGAGUCCACCACUAACACAAUACACACACUCUAGUGGAAACACUUUCAUAACCCAAAGUCCAUCAUCAGCAACACGCUGAU